GGGCGCGGCCGGGCGGGCCGCGGGGCGGGCUCCCGGCCCCGGCCGACGCGCCGCGAGGCGAGCCGGGCGGGCGGGCGCGCGCGCGUACGCGCGGGGAGGGCGAGGAGGACGGGCGGGGCCUCGGAGGAGGGGCGCGGGAGCGGCGGUCGGCCGGACGCCGGGCCGCCACCGGGGGCGGGCGGCGAACCGCGGCGACCGGGACGCGCUCCCCCGACCCUCUCUCCCCGCCGGCACCCUUCCCCUUCCGGACCCGCCUUCCUCCUCCCCCACCACCACACCGCACGCAACACGCCCCCACCGCCGACGACGCGCGACGACGACGACGACGACGG
rnacentral:lncRNA from 1 species